UACGUAGGGGGCUAGCGUUGUCCGGAAUCAUUGGGCGUAAAGCGCGUGUAGGCGGUCCGGUAAGUCCGCUGUGAAAGUCGGGGGCUCAACCCUCGGAUGCCGGUGGAUACUGCAGGGCUAGAGUCCGGAAGAGGCGAGUGGAAUUCCUGGUGUAGCGGUGAAAUGCGCAGAUAUCAGGAGGAACACCGAUGGCGAAGGCAGCUCGCUGGGACGGUACUGACGCUGAGGCGCGAAAGCGUGGGGAGCAAACAGG
rnacentral:rRNA from 1 species